CCUACGGGAGGCUGCAGUGGGGAAUAUUGGGCAAUGGGCGCAAGCCUGACCCAGCAACGCCGCGUGAAGGAAGAAGGCUUUCGGGUUGUUAACUUCUUUUGUCAGGGACGAAGAAAGUGACGGUACUUGACGAAUAAGCCACGGCUAACUACGUGCCAGGAGCCGCGGCAAUACGUAGGUGGCAAGCGUUAUUCGGAUUUACUGGGUGUAAAGGGCGUGUAGGCGGGGAAGCAAGUGAGAUGUGAAAACCACGGGCUCAACCUGUGGCCUGCAUUUGAAACUGUUUUUCUUGAGUGCUGGAGAGGCAAUCGGAAUUCCGUGUGUAGCGGUGAAAUGCGUAGAUAUACGGAGGAACACCAGUGGCGAAGGCGGAUUGCUGGACAGUAACUGACGCUGAGGCGCGAAAGCGUGGGGAGCAAACAGGAUUAGAUACCCUAGUAGUC
rnacentral:rRNA from 1 species